rnacentral:rRNA from 1 species
CUACGGGGGGCAGCAGUGGGGAAUAUUGCACAAUGGGCGCAAGCCUGAUGCAGCCAUGCCGCGUGUGUGAAGAAGGCCUUCGGGUUGUAAAGCACUUUCAGCGGGGAGGAAGGCGUUAAGGUUAAUAACCUUGUCGAUUGACGUUACCCGCAGAAGAAGCACCGGCUAACUCCGUGCCAGCAGCCGCGGUAAUACGGAGGGUGCAAGCGUUAAUCGGAAUUACUGGGCGUAAAGCGCACGCAGGCGGUCUGUCAAGUCGGAUGUGAAAGCCCCGGGCUCAACCUGGGAACUGCAUUCGAAACUGGCAGGCUAGAGUCUUGUAGAGGGGGGUAGAAUUCCAGGUGUAGCGGUGAAAUGCGUAGAGAUCUGGAGGAAUACCGGUGGCGAAGGCGGCCCCCUGGACAAAGACUGACGCUCAGGUGCGAAAGCGUGGGGAGCAAACAGGAUUAGAUACCCCUGUAGUC